AUUACUUUGGCAGAAAAGUGUAAUGAAUUUAGAAUUCAUUUAUGUAAAUAAAAUUUACAAGUAAUA
rnacentral:tRNA from 1 species